rnacentral:lncRNA from 1 species
AAUUUAUUAUUUUUUAAAAUGAAAAAAAAGUUAAAACUAUCGAUAUUUAGGUAAUAAAAAUAUUUAGAGUUUUACAGCUAAUUUACAACGCCCCUGUUAAAUAUUCUAUACCGAGUGCGUAACAAUGACAGAAUUUAGAAAACCAUCAAAAUAGUAUGAUUCUCCGUAUGUGAUUGGAAGAGUCAACUUGAACACUUUAAACUGAUCUGAACAAACUGCACGAGGCAUUGCAAAUGUUUACUCGGUGUUGUAUUGAUUCUUGACUGGCUGUUAAUUUUAUACAAGCUAAAGACGACCUUAUUUUGAAUAUAAUUUUGAAAGAGUCAGACCGCUAUUAACUGGUUAUGCACAAGGCAUUUUAGAUUUGCAAGCGGGGAUGAAUCUUGACAGGCUGUUAAUUUUAUAGAAGCUAAUGUUGACCUUAUUUUAAAUAUAAUAGAGUGUUAUUGUCUGGAGGUGUUUGAUAUUCAGG